GUGAGGAAUAUUGGACAAUGGGCGCAAGCCUGAUCCAGCCAUGCCGCGUGCAGGAAGACGCAUCUAUGGUGUGUAAACUGCUUUUGUACGGGAAGAAACACUCCCUCGUGAGGGAGCUUGACGGUACCGUAAGAAUAAGGAUCGGCUAACUCCGUGCCAGCAGCCGCGGUAAUACGGAGGAUCCAAGCGUUAUCCGGAAUCAUUGGGUUUAAAGGGUCCGUAGGCGGUUUAAUAAGUCAGUGGUGAAAGCCCAUCGCUCAACGAUGGAACGGCCAUUGAUACUGUUAGACUUGAAUUACAAGGAAGUAACUAGAAUAUGUAGUGUAGCGGUGAAAUGCUUAGAUAUGAUGUAGAACACCGAUUGCGAAGGCAGCUCACUAAGCAAAUAUUGACGCUGAGGCACGAAAGCGUGGGGAUCAAACAGGAUUAGAAACCCGGGUAGUCC
rnacentral:rRNA from 1 species